GACGAACGCUGGCGGCGUGCUUAACACAUGCAAGUCGAACGGGCCUUGUCCCCUUUUUUUUUGGGGGUGGGGUUAGUGGCGAACGGGUGAGUAACACGUGAGUAACCUGCCCCUCACUUCUGGAUAACCGCUUGAAAGGGUGGCUAAUACGGGGUGUUCUGGCCUGCUCGCAUGGGUGGGUUUGGAAAGAUUCGACCGGUUUUGGUUGUUUUGGUGGGGGAUGGGCUCGCGGCCUAUCAGCUUGUUGGUGGGGUGAUGGCCUGCCAAGGCUUUGACGGGUAGCCGGCCUGAGAGGGUGGGCGGUCACACUGGGACUGAGACACGGCCCAGACUCCUACGGGAGGCAGAAGUGGGGAAUAUUGCACAAUGGGCGCAAGCCUGAUGCAGCGACGCCGCGUGAGGGAUGGAGGCCUUCGGGUUGUGAACCUCUUUCGCCAGUGAAGAAGGUCCUGCUCUUUGUGGUGGGGUUGACGGUAGCGGGGUUAAUGAAGCGCCGGCUAACUACGUG
rnacentral:rRNA from 1 species